AGCAGCCGCGGUAAUUCCAGCUCCAAUAGCGUAUAUUAAAGUUGUUGCAGUUAAAAAGCUCGUAGUUGAACUUCAGGCCUGGCUGGACGGUCCGCCCUCUGGGUGAGCACUGUCUGUGGUCGGGUCCUACCUUCUGGCGAAGCGGCAUGGCCUUAACCGGCCGUGGCGGGGAACCAGGACUUUUACUGUGAAAAAAUUGAGUGUUCAAAGCAGGCACGCGCUUGAAUACAUUAGCAUGGAAUAAUGGAAUAGGACAAUGGUUCUAUUUGUUGGUUUCUAGGACCGUUGUAAUGAUUAAUAGGGAUAGUUGGGGGCAUUAGUAUUCAAUUGUCAGAGGUGAAAUUCUUGGAUUUAUUGAAGCUAACUACUGCGAAAGCAUUUGCCAAGGAUGUUUUCAUUAAUCAAGAACGAAAGUUAGGGAUCGAAGACGAUCGGAUACCGUCGUAGUCUUAACCAUAAACUAUGACCGACUAGGGAUCGGAUGAUGUUAAUUUUUAUGUACUCGUUCGGCGCCUUACGG
rnacentral:rRNA from 1 species